rnacentral:sRNA from 1 species
AUUCUCGUCCCCUCUCCCCGCUCGCGGGGAGAGGGUUAGGUGAGGGGCGA